AGGAUUAACGCUGGCGGCGUGCAUGAAACAUGCAAGUCGAGCGCGGUGUGAUGCGGGGUAACCCAAUUCACAUCUAGCGGCGAACGGGUGAGUAACACGUGAGCAACCUACCUUUGAGUUGGGGAUAGCCCUGGGAAACCAGGAUUAAUACCCGAUGUGGUCACAACAGGACAUCCUGAUGUGAGUAAAGGCGCAAGCCGCUCAAUGACGGGCUCGCGGCCUAUUAGCUUGUUGGUGGGGUAACGGCCUACCAAGGCGAUGAUGGGUAGCUGGUCUGAGAGGACGAUCAGCCACACUGGGACUGAGACACGGCCCAGACUCCUACGGGAGGCAGCAGUUAGGAAUUUUCCGCAAUGGGCGAAAGCCUGACGGAGCAACGCCGCGUGAGUGAUGAAGACCUUAGGGUUGUAAAGCUCUGUCGGAGGGAAGAACACAAUGACGGUACCCUCCAAGAAAGCCCGGCUAACUACGUGCCAGCAGCCGCGGUAA
rnacentral:rRNA from 1 species